ACGAACGCUGGCGGCGUGCUUAACACCUGCAAGUCGAACGGAAAGGCCCUGCUUUUGUGGGGUGCUCGAGUGGCGAACGGGUGAGUAACACGUGAGUAACCUGCCCUUGACUUUGGGAUAACUUCAGGAAACUGGGGCUAAUACCGGAUAGGAGCUCCUACUGCAUGGUGGGGGUUGGAAAGUUUCGGCGGUUGGGGAUGGACUCGCGGCUUAUCAGCUUGUUGGUGGGGUAGUGGCUUACCAAGGCUUUGACGGGUAGCCGGCCUGAGAGGGUGACCGGCCACAUUGGGACUGAGAUACGGCCCAGACUCCUACGGGAGGCAGCAGUGGGGAAUAUUGCACAAUGGGCGGAAGCCUGAUGCAGCAACGCCGCGUGCGGGAUGACGGCCUUCGGGUUGUAAACCGCUUUCGCCUGUGACGAAGCGUGAGUGACGGUAAUGGGUAAAGAAGCACCGGCUAACUACGUG
rnacentral:rRNA from 1 species